GGGGAAUAUUGGGCAAUGGGCGAAAGCCUGACCCAGCGACGCCGCGUGGGCGAUGAAGGCCUUCGGGUUGUAAAGCCCUGUCAUGCGGAAAGAACGACCCUGUGACGCAUACUCACAGGGAGUGACGGUACCGCAGGAGGAAGCACCGGCUAACUCCGUGCCAGCAGCCGCGGUAAUACGGAGGGUGCAAGCGUUGUUCGGAAUUAUUGGGCGUAAAGGGCGCGUAGGCGGCAGUGUAAGUCAGAUGUGAAAUACUCCGGUUCAACCAGAGAACAGCAUCUGAAACUGCACAGCUAGAGUACAGAAGAGGGAAACGGAAUUCCCGGUGUAGAGGUGAAAUUCGUAGAUAUCGGGAGGAACACCAGUGGCGAAGGCGGUUUCCUGGUCUGAUACUGACGCUGAGGCGCGAAAGCGUGGAGAGCAAAC
rnacentral:rRNA from 1 species